rnacentral:rRNA from 1 species
ACUUCUGCUAAUCCCGGAUGAGCCGUAAGGUAAAAGAUUUAUCGCCUAGAGAUGAGCUCGCGUCUGAUUAGCUAGUUGGUAAGGUAAAAGCUUACCAAGGCGACGAUCAGUAGCUGGUCUGAGAGGAUGAUCAGCCACACUGGGACUGAGACACGGCCCAGACUCCUACGGGAGGCAGCAGUGGGGAAUUUUCCGCAAUGGGCGAAAGCCUGACGGAGCAAGACCGCGUGGGGGAGGAAAGCCUUUGGGUUGUAAACCCCUUUUCUCAGGGAAGAAGAAAGUGACGGUACCUGAGGAAUCAGCCUCGGCUAACUCCGUGCCAGCAGCCGCGGUAAUACGGAGGAGGCAAGCGUUAUCCGGAAUGAUUGGGCGUAAAGCGUUCGUAGGUGGCCCUUCAAGUCUGCUGUCAAAGACGGGAGCUCAACUCCUGAAAGGCAGUGGAAACUGAAGAGCUGGAGUGCGGUAGGGGCAGAGGGAAUUCCCGGUGUAGCGGUGAAAUGCGUAGAGAUCGGGAAGAACACCGGUGGCGAAAGCGCUCUGCUGGGCCGCAACUGACACUGAGGGACGAAAGCUAGGGGAGCGAAUGGGAUU